UUUCGCAAUGCCCGAAAGGGUGACGAAGCGACGCCGCGUGUGGGAAGAAGGCCUUCGGGUUGUAAACCACUGUCGGGAGUUAGGAAAUGCAAGGGUGUUAAUAGCGUCUUUACUUGACUAAGGCUCCGGAGGAAGCCACGGCUAACUCUGUGCCAGCAGCCGCGGUAAUACAGAGGCGGCAAGCGUUGUUCGGAAUUAUUGGGCGUAAAGAGCACGUAGGCGGCCUUGUAAGUCAGUUGUGAAAGCCUUCUGCUUAACGGAAGAACAGCAGCUGAUACUGCAAGGCUAGAGUGCGGAAGGGGAGAGUGGAACUUCUGGUGGAGCGGUGAAAUGCGUAGAUAUCAGAAGGAACACCGGCGGCGAAGGCGACUCUCUGGUCCGUAACUGACGCUGAGUGUGCGAAAGCUAGGGGAGCAAACGGGAUUAGAUACCCCGGUAGUCCUAGCCGUAAACGAUGGGCACUAAGUAGAGGGGUUUUA
rnacentral:rRNA from 1 species